AUGCAACAAGAGAGCAAAUAAAUUGUUCACUCGUGGAGGCAUUAAGAGAGCGUGUAGUAUGACGUCAUGUCCAGAACGCGAGUGUUCGUUGACGUGCUCGAAUUACAAACCUAGAGCGGGACCGUUUGGCAGAGCAAUGAACGGAUGGCGCGAAGAUUUAGAGAUUUUGUGCCGGUAUUCCUAUGAUUAAAAGGAAGCUGGAAGCCGCAGUUCGAAGCAAACUGACCCGUCUUGACCUAUUGACUAAAGUAGUGAAAACAGUUCUACUGUUCAAAAGCUCCUUGAAAGCCCGUGCCUUGUCAUCUUGCCCGGACAGUUCCCACGAAGCCAAAUUAAACAAACAUGAUUGUUACAAAGUCAAAUAACUUGGUACAGAGGGUAGGAUAGAAGCCCCGGCUCAGCUUAGCUCGACUAUAUUAGUGAAUCCCCACGGAUUUCCCAACAGGGAGAGACUUUAAUCAAACUGCUGUCGGUAUUGUUCUAGCGUACCCCACCUGUGUGACAAUGAUGUCAUUGUCAUCAAUGGAGUACACUGCUUUGCGCGUGGAUCUACCACCGCUCUCACUCACUGACACUAGCUUGGACAACUUGCAAAAUUAACGAACCAGUUUGGCGUGCAACGCGCUAAACCUCGGGGCUGCCUUGUCACCCCCUGGAUAGGGAAUCUACUAAUGAAAUAUAGGCAUGAGACGUCAUGAGAUGUGACGUGUAGCGGGUAAUCCACAUGGGACGGUCACCCUCAUCCGGAUCCACCGUAGUUGGUAAAUGUUCCAAGAGUUUCGAGGAAGGAACCACGUCACUGGCAAGCUGUAUUUUCCUCAGAGAGACUCCAUCUGUCAGAGGUUUAUGAGAGGAUCUCGCUGUAAGAUUGGCGAAUGUCAAUAGAGCGCCACAUAUUGCUCCAUCUCCUAAUUACUUGGUUAAACUUUAUUAGUCUGCGAUCGGAAGCGUCCGUCACUCUGUUUGUACUGCGCUAUUGGCAUUGGGCUAACAUGGGUUUGGUAAAGAGAAAACACGUUUUGAACUAGAAGGGGAAAAAAUGAAGACCUUGACAUAUCACGCCCUAUCAAAAAUUGGGAGACACUCAGCCUAGCGGGGAGUUUUCCACGAUCAAAAGAUAUAGAUAUAUGUAUCUUAUGAUGUAGAUACAAUACUUAUGGUCUUGUUAAAAAUUUUGCAAAGAAGGACCCGUGAUUUCA